rnacentral:rRNA from 1 species
GACGAACGCUGGCGGCCCGUCUAACACAUGCAAGUCGAACGAGCGAGAGAGAGCUUGCUCUCUCAAGCGAGUGGCGAACGGGUGAGUAACGCGUGAGGAACCUGCCUCAAAGAGGGGGACAACAGUUGGAAACGACUGCUAAUACCGCAUAAGCCCACAGCUCGGCAUCGAGCAGAGGGAAAAGGAGCAAUCCGCUUUGAGAUGGCCUCGCGUCCGAUUAGCUGGUUGGUGAGGUAACGGCCCACCAAGGCAACGAUCGGUAGCCGGACCGAGAGGUUGAACGGCCACAUUGGGACUGAGACACGGCCCAGACUCCUACGGGAGGCAGCAGUGGGGAAUAUUGCACAAUGGGGGAAACCCUGAUGCAGCGACGCCGCGUGGAGGAAGAAGGUCUUCGGAUUGUAAACUCCUGUUGUUGAGGAAGAUAAUGACGGUACUCAACAAGGAAGUGACGGCUAACUACGUGCCAGCAGCCGCGGUAAAACGUAGGUCACAAGCGUUGUCCGGAAUUACUGGGUGUAAAGGGAGCGCAGGCGGGAAGACAAGUUGGAAGUGAAAUCUAUGGGCUCAACCCAUAAACUGCUUUCAAAACUGUUUUUCUUGAGUAGUGCAGAGGUAGGCGGAAUUCCCGGUGUAGCGGUGGAAUGCGUAGAUAUCGGGAGGAACACCAGUGGCGAAGGCGGCCUACUGGGCACCAACUGACGCUGAGGCUCGAAAGUGUGGGUAGCAAACAGG